rnacentral:tRNA from 1 species
GUAGCCGUAGCUCAAUUGGUAGAGCCCCGCAUUGUGGUUGCGGUUGUUGUGGGUUCGAGUCCCAUCGGUUACCC